rnacentral:rRNA from 1 species
AUUGAACGCUGGCGGCAGGCUUAACACAUGCAAGUCGAGCGGGGACUUCGGUCCUAGCGGCGAACGGGUGAGGAAUGCUUGGGAAUCUGCCCAGUAGCGGGGGAUAACGUUUCGAAAGGAACGCUAAUACCGCAUACGCCCUACGGGGGAAAGGGGGGGAUCUUCGGACCUCUCACUAUUGGAUGAGCCCAAGUCGGAUUAGCUAGUUGGUGAGGUAAAGGCUCACCAAGGCGACGAUCCGUAGCUGGUCUGAGAGGAUGAUCAGCCACACUGGAACUGAGACACGGUCCAGACUCCUACGGGAGGCAGCAGUGGGGAAUAUUGGACAAUGGGCGAAAGCCUGAUCCAGCCAUGCCGCGUGUGUGAAGAAGGCCUUCGGGUUGUAAAGCACUUUAAGCGAGGAGGAAUGGCUGAGGGUUAAUAACCUUCAGCAGUGACGUUACUCGCAGAAUAAGCACCGGCUAACUCUGUGCCAGCAGCCGCAGUAAAAC